rnacentral:rRNA from 1 species
UACGUAGGGUGCGAGCGUUGUCCGGAAUUAUUGGGCGUAAAGAGCUUGUAGGCGGUUUGUCGCGUCUGCUGUGAAAAUCCGGGGCUCAACCCCGGACUUGCAGUGGGUACGGGCAGACUAGAGUGUGGUAGGGGAGACUGGAAUUCCUGGUGUAGCGGUGAAAUGCGCAGAUAUCAGGACGAACACCGAUGGCGAAGGCAGGUCUCUGGGCCACUACUGACGCUGAGAAGCGAAAGCAUGGGGAGCGAACAGG